UUUCACUCCCAAACCCAAUGUGAACGUUACCAAACUGUUGCCUCGGCGGGAUCUCUGCCCCGGGUGCGUCGCAGCCCCGGACCAAGGCGCCCGCCGGAGGACCAACCAAAACUCUUAUUGUAUACCCCCUCGCGGGUUUUUUUAUAAUCUGAGCCUUCUCGGCGCCUCUCGUAGGCGUUUCGAAAAUGAAUCAAAACUUUCAACAACGGAUCUCUUGGUUCUGGCAUCGAUGAAGAACGCAGCGAAAUGCGAUAAGUAAUGUGAAUUGCAGAAUUCAGUGAAUCAUCGAAUCUUUGAACGCACAUUGCGCCCGCCAGUAUUCUGGCGGGCAUGCCUGUCCGAGCGUCAUUUCAACCCUCGAACCCCUCCGGGGGGUCGGCGUUGGGGAUCGGCCCUGCCUUGGCGGUGGCCGUCUCCGAAAUACAGUGGCGGUCUCGCCGCAGCCUCUCCUGCGCAGUAGUUUGCACACUCGCAUCGGGAGCGCGGCGCGUCCACAGCCGUUAAACACCCAACUUCUGAAAUGUUGACCUCGGAUCAGGUAGGAAUACCCGCUGAACUUAAGCAUAUCAAUAAGCGGAGGAAUU
rnacentral:rRNA from 1 species